GGACCGCCCUUUUGGGCUAAGGCCAUACGGACAGCCGGGUCCACUGCCGA
ncrna:unclassified sequences Streptococcus sRNA SpF59 (ldcC RNA)